rnacentral:rRNA from 1 species
GGGAGGCAGCAGUGGGGAAUAUUGGGCAAUGGGCGAAAGCCUGACCCAGCCACGCCGCGUGAGUGAUGAAGGCCUUCGGGUCGUAAAGCUCUGUGGGGAGGGACGAACAAGUUCCGGGCUAAUCACCGGGACCCUGACGGUACCUCCUUAGCAAGCACCGGCUAACCCUGUGCCAGCAGCCGCGGUAAUACAGGGGGUGCAAACGUUGCUCGGAAUCAUUGGGCGUAAAGCGCACGUAGGCGGUUCGUUAUGUCGGAUGUGAAAGCCCUUGGCUUAACCGAGGAAGUGCAUCCGAAACUGGCGAGCUAGAGUACGAAAGAGGAUCGCGGAAUUCCCGGUGUAGAGGUGAAAUUCGUAGAUAUCGGGAGGAACACCGGUGGCGAAGGCGGCGAUCUGGGUCGAUACUGACGCUGAGGUGCGAAAGCGUGGGGAGCAAACAGGAUUAGAUACCCCGGU